AACCUCGUAGCUCAAUUGGAUAGAGCAUCUGACUACGGAUCAGAAGGUUAAGGGUUCAAAUCCUUUCGAGGUUA
rnacentral:tRNA from 1 species